AAGAUGCUGAUUGAACCAGCUGAGGUUCUAGCCAGGCAGGCUGACUCUGCAGGUUGCAACAGGACAUGGCUGUGGAUAAGCCGCAUACAGAAAUGCUCCAUAGCAGCUCCAUUCAGCAGAGAUUUCAAAGAAUCCAUGUAUCUGAUAGGAAAAGUCUUUUAGAACAGAAGAUCCUCAAACAAGACAGCUAGAGACUGACGAAAUUUCCAACAUAGUCACUGUUGCUGGUUCCCUGAUCUGUGAGGGGAUGUCGGUGAAGUUGGAGACAACCUGUAUCAGCAUGAUGUCUGACAUGGAAUUUGCAUUGUCCCGUGAUCAGCAUGACCCUGCUCGUAUCACCAGAUAACGUCACACCUCCCAUUGCGUAACACCAUCGUGUUCUCUAGAUCCUGAGCCUGCAAUAGUUAUUGAGUUGGCUGUUUGUGCACUGGGGAGGGAAUUCAAAUAUUUUUAAGCACUUCAAAUGGUAGAUAGGUGCCCUUUGUUGAGAGUAAAGCAACCUGAUUCCUCAUAUGUCCACAUAUUGAAAGGAUGAAAUUUGUGCCAGCAGGGAUAAAGGAAGAGCUUUUAUCUGUGUACGAGUACAUUACGUGCAAGGGUACACAUCAGCAUUUAGGUAGAUAUCAGUGUUUUGUAAUUGCAGGAUCCCGUAACUUAAAUAAUCCUCUGCUGCCACAACGUUUUUCAUUAACAGUCAAAUAAAAAUUAGGCUAAAUUCUAUGCAUUCAUUUGUUGCUUUAGUGCUCCCCCUCUCCCAAAUUAUGUGCUUGCUUUCUUGCAUGGCAGUGUGUUUGUUGUUUUGGUUACUCGUUUGUUUUUAUUUGAAAUCUUAUUGCGUGUACUUUCUGAAGUCUUGCUGAGCAGAGAGCUCAGAAAAUGUGUAUGUUUAUGUACCUUUGUCUAUGCACAAAGACUGAUGGAUAGGUAAUAAAAUGCACAUCUCCGCAGUCCUUUCAUGCU
rnacentral:lncRNA from 7 species